CUCUUCACCCCUAGACUACCACGGCAGAUUGGAACCCAGGAAUCCGCAGAGAAAACAUAAGAUUUCUAUCUAGAAAAAGGGAGCAAAAGAGAAAGGAAGGGAGUGGAUAGGGCAGGACUGUGUACUUCAGGGGCCUGCAGUCUCUGCACCAGGACACCAGGAGACCUGACUCAGAGAAGAGACUAGAAACCAACAGAAAGAAACUAAACAGCUGUCUGAUACAUAUACAGAUACACACUUGUACAUGUGUAUCCCAAUUUAAAGCUAUACAGAAAAUUAACUGAGGAACGGACUAUGGGGUCGUUGAUCUUCCUUCUCAUCAAACUUGCAUCCCACCAACUUCGGGCCUGCUGCAGCUAAUUAUUCUUGAAGAUAUGUUUAAAUUGCAGAGUAAAAGCCUUUCUCUCUGGGAAGGAGAGUGACAGGUGUGCCAGCCAGUAUAUGUGUCAACAAUUUUGGCAUUGCAGAAGACCAUGGAGACAACUUUUUUAUUUCUCCAUCACACAAGGACUGAAGAUACAAAAAUGAGUUUUUCUUUCCUAUGGCCUUGGACUAGCUAUAUACGAUAGUAAUUAGCAAGCAGGCUCUGAAUUACACGAGCCCCUCCCACUGACUCUUGUACUUUUUAGCUAUAAGAACCUAAGCACGAACUUCGCAGAGCUCCAGUGCUUCUGUUUUGAAAAGAGAUAAUAUUUCCUAUGGGAUAGGGUUGUCUGGGGGUACUAAAUGAGAACUACAUACAAAGUACUUAAUGGAAGGUAUGUAGGACUCAAUAGAGGUAGCUAUUAAAUUGUAUGUAAGUAACAAAUCCUGAUAAUGUUCAAUUCUGAAUAAAACUUAGCAAGGUA
rnacentral:lncRNA from 1 species